ACUCCUACGGGAGGCAGCAGUGAGGAAUAUUGGACAAUGGGAGGCAACUCUGAUCCAGCCAUCCCGCGUGAAGGAUGAAUGCCCGUACGGGUUGUAAACUUUCUUUUAUACAGGAAGAAACCUCUGGUAUUUAUCCAGAGCUGACAUUACUGUACGAAUAAGCAUCGGCUAACUCCGUGCCAGCAGCCGCGGUAAGUACGGAGGAUGCAAGCGUUAUCCGGUAUUUAAGUUGGGUUUAAAGGGUCCGUAGGCGGUAACUUUAAGUCAGUGGUGAAAGCCUGCAGCUUAACUGUAGAACUGCCAUUGAUACUGAUGUUCUUGAAUAUAUAUGAAGUGGGCGGAAUGCGUCAUGUAGCGGUGAAAUGCACAGAUAUGACGCAGAACACC
rnacentral:rRNA from 1 species